GGCCAGUUAGCUCAGUGGUUUGAGUGUGAUGCUGACAACAAGGACCAACACCGAGGUUGCGGGUUCAAUUCCCGCUCGGUCCC
rnacentral:tRNA from 1 species